ACUAGCCAAUCAACCGCUCAACAACAAAAUUGUGAGGAAAAAAAAGGUGCACGCGUGACUGAUGAAUGAAGUUCCUUGUUGCAAUACCAUGGUCGUUUGUUACUGCAGUCACGCUGCACAGGUGAUCAGAUCUCCCGACGCUUCCCAAAAUCUAAGCGCCCCAUUGAUAUGAUACAGCGAUCUUCUGGAAUGCGCAGCAUGACCGCAAUAAAGACGACGCAGAACUCAACCAAUGACACAGCAGCGAUGACAAGAGAUGUUCAUUUCUGUCAGCACGACACAUAAGGAAUCCCGGUGGCUGUGCCGACUCCGACAACAUACCCUGAUGUCUCUCUGGAAGGCAACCCUUGCCCUAAUUCCGUCUAUCUUGUUAUCGGAAGCGGUGAGUGGUGUGCACGCCUCCGAAGUCUGACCAGGAGGUCGCUUCGUCUACAUCUUCUGCGGCAAAGUUGGACAUAAUGCUGGCAUACAUCAGAAGGGCUCGUCCUUUGAGUUUUUAGCUUUUCCUGUUGAUUCCUCACAGAGAUCUGGCCAUUGUCACACAGGUCUACAACCGAUGAAUGGCCAUUGUGUGAAGAAUGGCCAUUGUGUGAAUUUACAUUACGCAAGCAUUUCUGAUGGAUGUUGCACAGUAACAACAAACGAUAUCAAAAAGCGCAGGUGGCCUGUUUCUUGACUUUGUCACAAGGACUUUGUGUCUGUUGGUUAUGGCUUGCAUUCAAAUGUAAAAUUAGAAAGCCGUUUGUAUAGACCUACAUAACUACAUUUCUAAGGUGUUGCACAUGAUGUAAUAUGAUCCGUUACAUUUGUUAUGUCACACAUUUGAUUGAUGAUGUAUAUGUUGUCAUUACACAUGCAUGAAUGAUUCAUGAAAAAGUUAACGAUAAAUAUGUGGAAUAUUGAGUUGUUUUAAAAAAAAAAUGUAUGAUGGGGCCCACUGAUCUAUGCCUAAAUGUUAAUUAUUGCACCUAGGUACAUACCGUACACUCUCCCCAACCACCAUAUCUGAUCGUUAAAGACAUCAGGCAUGUGUCAGUGAUGAGGCUUCACUCACAAUGAUUCCAACCAGAGUGUGAAAAAAUAUAUGAAUUAUGCAGGAUCACGUCCCAGGUUACUACUUGAAUUCCUGGAUACAUUUGACUGUAGGGGGGUUCUACCUAAACAGGAUAGGGAUGGA